GAAGAUAUAGAUUAAACGGAAAAUCAGUUGGCUACGAACCAACAGAGUGAGGGUUCGAAUCCUUUUGUCUUCUCCA
rnacentral:tRNA from 1 species